rnacentral:rRNA from 1 species
CCGUCAAUUCCUUUGAGUUUCAACCUUGCGGCCGUACUCCCCAGGCGGAGAACUUAUCGCGUUAGCUACGACACCGAUUUGCUAAGCAAACCAACGUCAAGUUCUCAUCGUUUACGGCGUGGACUACCAGGGUAUCUAAUCCUGUUUGCUACCCACGCUUUCGUGCCUCAGCGUCAAAACAGGCCCAGGAGGCUGCCUUCGCCAUCGGUGUUCUUCCAGAUAUCUACGCAUUUCACCGCUACACCUGGAGUUCCACCUCCCUCUACCGUUUUCUAGUCUGACAGUAUCGACCGCAAUUCCUAGGUUGAGCCCAGGGCUUUCACAAUCGACUUAUCAAACCGCCUACGCACGCUUUACGCCCAGUAAAUCCGAUUAACGCUAGCACCCUCUGUAUUACCGCGGCUGCUGGCACAGAGUUAGCCGGUGCUUAUUCUGUCGGUACCGUCAAGACUUCACGUAUUAAGUAAAGUUUUUUCUUCCCAACUUAAAGUGCUUUACAACCCGAAGGCCUUCUUCACACACGCGGUAUUGCUGGAUCAGGCUUUCGCCCAUUGUCCAAUAUUCCCCACUGCUGCCUCCCGUAGGAGUCCGGACCGUGUCUCAGUUCCGGUGUGACUGAUCAUCCUCUCAGACCAGUUACGGAUCGUAGCCUUGGUGAGCCAUUACCUCACCAACUAGCUAAUCCGACGUAGGUUCCUCCAAAAGCGAGAGGCCUUGCGGUCCCCCUCUUUGCUCUUGCGAGAUCAUGCGGUAUUAAUCCGGGUUUCCCCGGGUUAUCCCCCACUUAAGGGCAGAUCCCUACGUAUUCCUCACCCGUCCGCCACUAGGUAUUGCUACCUCGUUCGACUUGCAUGUGUUAGGCCUG